rnacentral:rRNA from 1 species
CAGCCGUAAACUAUGCGCGUUAGGUGUAUCGGUGACCACGAGUUACCGAGGUGCCGAAGGGAAACCGUGAAACGUGCCGCCUGGGAAGUACGGCCGCAAGGCUGAAACUUAAAGGAAUUGGCGGGGGAGCACAACAACGGGUGGAGCCUGCGGUUUAAUUGGACUCAACGCCGGACAACUCACCGGGGACGACAGCAAUAUGUAGGCCAGGCUGAAGACCUUGCCUGAAUCGCUGAGAGGAGGUGCAUGGCGUAGACGUCU